UACGUAGGGGGCAAGCGUUAUCCGGAAUUACUGGGUGUAAAGGGAGCGUAGACGGUAAUGUAAGUCUGGAGUGAAAGGCGGGGGCCCAACCCCCGGACUGCUCUGGAAACUGUGCGGCUAGAGUACUGGAGGGGCAGGCGGAAUUCCUAGUGUAGCGGUGAAAUGCGUAGAUAUUAGGAGGAACACCAGUGGCGAAGGCGGCCUGCUGGACAGUAACUGACGUUGAGGCUCGAAAGCGUGGGGAGCAAAUAGG
rnacentral:rRNA from 1 species